UACGAAGGGGGCUAGCGUUGUUCGGAAUUACUGGGCGUAAAGCGCACGUAGGCGGACAUUUAAGUCAGGGGUGAAAUCCCAGAGCUCAACUCUGGAACUGCCUUUGAUACUGGGUGUCUUGAGUAUGGAAGAGGUAAGUGGAAUUCCGAGUGUAGAGGUGAAAUUCGUAGAUAUUCGGAGGAACACCAGUGGCGAAAGGCGGCUUACUGGUCCAUUACUGACGCUGAGGUGCGAAAGCGUGGGGAGCAAACAGG
rnacentral:rRNA from 1 species